AGUGAACGCUGGCGGUAGGCCUAACACAUGCAAGUCGAACGGCAGCACAGUAAGAGCUUGCUCUUACGGGUGGCGAGUGGCGGACGGGUGAGGAAUACAUCGGAAUCUACUUUUUCGUGGGGGAUAACGUAGGGAAACUUACGCUAAUACCGCAUACAACCUACGGGUGAAAGCAGGGGAUCUUCGGACCUUGCGCGACUGAAUGAGCCGAUGUCGGAUUAGCGAGUUGGCGGGGUAAAGGCCCACCAAGGCGACGAUCCGAAGCUGGUCUGAGAGGAGGAUCAGCACAACGGAAACUGAGCCACGGCCAAGACUCCAACGGGAGGAAGCAGUGGGGAAUAUUGGAAAAAGGGCGAAAGCUUGAUCCAGCAAGACCGCGUGGGUGAAGAAGGCCUUCGGGUUGUAAAGUCCUUUUGUCGGGAAAGAAAAGCAGAAGGUUAAUACCAAGCUGUUUUGACGGUACCCAAAGAAUAAGCAACGGCUAACUUCGUG
rnacentral:rRNA from 1 species